AGAGAACCUUGUGCUACAGAAUUACAGAGGACACCUGAUAAACUUUUGUUCAAAACCGAAUGGAUUUUAAAUAACGCUCCAGGUUGUUUGUGGUUCCCAGGCGAAGCUAGUCUAUGCUGCCCAUGUCCUGGUUCAGGGGAACAUCAGUCUUUAUACUCACAUCAUUGGGAAUGGUGAGUUCAUGAGUACUGGCCGGGGGACUGGCAUCCAGACCUGAAUGAGAGAGCAGAGGGAAGCUCGAGAGACAGCCGAGGUUAAACAGCACUGCAUACAUACGCUGGAAAGUGUCAAAAUAUGAGAUACUCAUUCAGAUUAUCUGCGAGGAAAACACAGCUAUCAGGAUUAAACCAUCCUCUGGAUUGUAAACGUGCUUCCCCUUUUGAUAAGGUCAGUGGUUCUCAAACUAUG